UUUCGUCUCCGAUCUGUAAUUCAUACUUGGAACUCGUAACGGUGACACGGAUGCCUUCUUGCAGGACUGACGAAUCCUCAAGCUUUUUCGUCAUUCAAUAUUCGGUAUAUAUAGCAUGAAUUUGGGGUGGUCAAGCAUGAGUCGAGUUCUGGAGGUGAUAGUCAAACUUAAAGACUAAGAGUUCCAAAUUUAAACAAUCUUUCUGAAAAUCGUCUACUAGGAUCAGCCACAGUAUUCAAAAUGAGAACAUUCGGAUUGUUAUUUCUUGUUGUAUUGGCCAUCAUUUUGUGCUACAUGGUGUGUUUUUCUGAAGCUCAGUUUCCUGGAUUUUUCAGACCAACUUUCUACAGACGCCGUGGGAAUUUUGGUGGACACCAUACGAGGGAAAGCGAUUAUGAUUUUAGAGAGAGGAAUAGACAGUAUGGAUAUGCUGCGAUUCUCGGGUGAAAACUUUUGACGGGGAGUACAAAUUAUAUGUAUUUUGUAUUUUUAAUGUGAUAUUUGUUAGUGUUGUACUAUAAUGAAUGAUUGAGAAUCGAAUGCUUGUACGAAAAUUAUAAAAGUAUUUAUGCACUUUUGUGUCUAAAUGAAAUAAAAUAUAAAAAGUGCACUUCA